rnacentral:rRNA from 1 species
GAUGAACGCUGGCGGCGUGCCUAAUACAUGCAAGUCGAGCGAACGGACGAGAAGCUUGCUUCUCUGAUGUUAGCGGCGGACGGGUGAGUAACACGUGGAUAACCGACCUAUAAGACUGGGAUAACUUCGGGAAACCGUAGCUAAUACCGGAUAAUAUUUUGAACCGCAUGGUUCAAAAGUGAAAGACGGUCUUGCUGUCACUUAUAGAUGGAUCCGCGCUGCAUUAGCUAGUUGGUAAGGUAACGGCUUACCAAGGCAACGAUGCAUAGCCGACCUGAGAGGAUGAUCGGCCACACUGGAACUGAGACACGGUCCAGACUCCUACGGGAGGCAGCAGUAGGGAAUCUUCCGCAAUGGGCGAAAGCCUGACGGAGCAACGCCGCGUGAGUGAUGAAGGUCUUCGGAUCGUAAAACUCUGUUAUUAGGGAAGAACAUAUGUGUAAGUAACUGUGCACAUCUUGACGGUACCUAAUCAGAAAGCCACGGCUAACUACGUG